CCCAUCUCCACUUUUCCCUCAAAUCACAUUUCCCGAAUUACAAGCCCUAAUUGGAAGGAGAAAUAGAGGCGCAUCUCUACCCGUCCUCACAUCUUCUCAAAUUCACGCCCGUCGGAGCACCAGCCGUUUCUCGGCUCUCUCUCUCUCUCUCUCUAUAACAACUCAAAAUCAGGGAAACUCCAAUUGAACCCAAACAGCAGCGCCUCCUUCGCGAGGCAGCCACACCACUCACCGGUGACUCCCGCUCCUUCUUCAACGGCUUCCCCACACGUUGCUCUUCCCCAGUGCUCGCAGCACCGCUUCCGGAGUCCAGCAUAGGUCGUCGCUGCUUCGCGAGGCUCCUGCUGUUGUUGCUGUUCGGGCUAGACUCAAGGCACGCCAUCGCCUUUCGUGCUAUUGCUCCAGCGGCGUCACCGCCUCCUCGUAAUAAAGCUAAGUCAUUUCCCCAAUUCCCUUUACGUAUUCCGUAAAUUCCAGAGUUCUCGAUUGAUUAUUGCAUCUACUCAUUAGGAUUUAUGCAGAAGCAUCUUGUUGUGAUUCUGGGCAGUAGCCAUGUGGUAAAAAUGCUACUGAUUUUUUUGGCUAAAAUAGUUUAUGAUCUCCCUUGAUUCGAAUUGUAUGAUGUGUGAAACUUAAGGCUCUAAAUCUUGCGCCUAACAUGAUGUUCGAACUAGAAACAACAUGGUUAAAAUUUGUUUUGUCUGUGCUCUGCAGAGUUGCAGAGUAUAGUUAAACUUGGUGCUUAGGAUUCUUUCUUUUGGGAUUCCUAUUAUGCUGUGCCUUCUCUUCAAGUGUUCAUGCUUCUAUGUUCCUACGAUGUGGAGGAAAGGGUGUUACCUCUUGAAGUAGCUAUUCUCUUUUAAUUUCUGCUCCUAACUCUUCCAAGAUCACUUCUCACUCUGGAACUCCUUGUUGUGAAGUAAGGGAAAGGGGUGAGCUUGUGUUUUAGUAUGAAAAACUUGUGGGGAGGAAGGAAAGAGAUGUUACUUACGGAAAGUAGGGCUGCCUGCAGGAACUUUGCAGAAAACUCUACUCCAACCCCUCAAACUUGCUGGAUUUUUGAUGUGUGUGGAAGGGAGAAAUUUAUGUAUAUGAUGAGGUUUUUAUAGGCCAACUUGGUGUACUUUGGGAGGAUUAAAUGGGGCUGAUAAUCACUUGUUUUCCUGCGCAGCAUCUCUCUUUUUGAUCCUCAGUGCAGCCUUUUACUUAAGAGGCUUGGUGUUAUAUGUGGUGGUAAUGCAGGUUUGACUUGCUCUUUAUGGUUGGGAGAGAACUUGGGCUGCCAAACUGCUGUCCGCGACGGGCUUGCAGCCCCGGGCCCAAUGGGCUGAUCGGAUAGGGCCGAAUUAUCGGGCUUCAAAAGGGCCUGAUGCGGGCUCACAUAGAUUACGCCCGCUGUUUAUAGUCUUGUAAUUGUAGUCACGAUUUCCUUUCUCAAACUCAUAAACUCAUGCACUUAAUUUUGUAAAUUAGCGCGUAGUUCAAGAUGUAAGCGAACACUCUUAGUUCGAAAGUGAAAUCUUUAUAUUCUUCUCGA